CAUCAAUUCAUAUUCAUUUGAGAUUCAUGGAAUCUUUCCCCCCAGCAUUUACAACUAUCCUAUAUAAAUCAUUCAUGCGAAAAUGCUGACUGCAAAAGAGAGAACCAGAAUUUGAACUGAUAUAUGAUACAGAAAAGGCCCCUCCAUAAAUGUCAAUAAUACACUCUGUACAAAUCCACUCUUUCACAGUCAGCACGGUGUAGGUGAGACUCGUGCAGGUGUCAGAUUUCAUGUGAAACGUCAGCCAAUGAGACAUUCACAUCACGGCCCUGUCAAACGCACACGGGUUAAGACAGCCAGGAAGUUCCCAUUCUGCCAGGAAGGUUGACAAAGGAGCUCAUGUGAGAAUAGAGACAGUCAUAAGCGCAUGUGAACGAUACCUGCAGCAGAGGACUACAAUUUGAAUAAGAAGAUGCUGCGUUUACUCAUUCUGUUUUUGAUUCUUCGAGGUGUAGCUGCAACAUCAGAAGACACAGAAGGAAAUUCUUCAGGAGAUAAUAUCAGUGACGAUGAGGAUGGUGACGAUGUAGUGAAGCAAAGGCGUCCUGUAUAUGCAGGUUCUGAAAUUCCUGGAGCAAGUCCUGGAUCAGAUAAAUCCACAGGAGACGAUGAAGCUAAUGGAGGUGGAUCAUUGGUAAUCAUCAUAGCUGCCGUUAGCGCCAUAGUUCUGGCCAUUGGAGGUAUUGUAGCUAUUGUCCUCUUCAGACGCUACUUGCAAAGCCGAGAACAGGGGGUCUACUCCGUGCCAGCAGAGCAAGGACAGAAAGCUGCUGUCUAACCAUCAGGGCCUUUUCAUUUCCCCUCUCCACUGGAUCCUUUCAGGGACGUGCUGCAAGCAUGUGAUUUCUCAUCCGAACGUAUCUAUAUCUAUAGCGGAUUCUAUAACAUCAGUAGACGAGAAUGUGUUGCUAUCACAAAUUUCCUAUGAACCGUUUUUAAAUGCACAAUGUAUACUGUUCAUGCACACAUGCCGUAUGUUGCACUCACAGAGAAAGUCCUUGGACUGUGUAGUACAGCUCAUUGGAACAUUUUCCUCUCUGCCUGCAAUACUUUUUUAUUUAAAUCAAGUUUUUAAACUCUGCUUAAAGGUGUGUAAUAUUUUUCCAUCUUUAGAUAUUCUCCUUAAAAGUAAGCCAUUCAUGGUCAUCAAAAAUAUAAACAAAUGGCAUGAGUUUGGGGUGGGACCAUCUAAUUAACUAGCCAAUGGCAGACAGUGCCACAGAAAUCAUGAACUGCAGCUUUAAGCAAACAUCCUCCUUAUUUUUGCUCCCGGUCCUCAAAUGUUAGCUGUCCCCAGUGCGUUUAAAGUGACAAAAUCAAGGCGGUUAAAAGAUAAAGCUGGUCUCUGGCUCUCUGAUUAUUUGACAAAAGAGAGAAAGAAGCGGAGAGGGAAAAACGAGUGGAACUCUGAACACCCACUUGUCAAAUGGUGAAUUAAUCAACCACUUUCUUUUUCCUUUCUUUCACCGUGGCCAACUCCUCUAAAGCACAGCAGAUUGUAAAUAGCUCUGGGAUGCUGAGUAGCAGACUAAUGUUUCAUAUAUACUCCUGGCUUUAAUAGGAAGACAAUCAACAUGAUUAUUUAAACAACAACAACAACAAAAACAAAAGUAUGCACCAUGUAUUAACUACCUCAAAGCUCAGAGUAAGUCUGUAUUUAAAGGUUUAUUUUAUGCCAAAAAUGAAUGGGAAUUUUUAUUUCUGGAACCCUGUUGCACUAUAUUGGCCGUCAUCGAUCGGUCAAACUGCUACUUUAAUGUCUCUCAUAUCAUAUUUCAGAGGACUUUAGUAUUGAAAUAUGAUAUGUAUUGAAGUCUUGUUGUUAGGCUGAUUUGCAGUCAACAAAGGUAUCUAAUAAACCUGCAAAAAGUGAGUAAUAUUUGACUAAUCUCAUGACCCGCUCCGUUUAAAAAUAUAACAGCUUUCAUUAAGCUUUUACUUGGUAUGCAUCAUUUUAAACAUAUCUGUCAUUAAUUCCAUUAUGUGUUAAACGUUUUAAUGAGGAAAACAUCCUGUUAAGGGAAAGGCAGAAAAAAAUGGAGCAUCAAGUCUUAAAGAUUUAAUCAAAGUCUCCAUAGUGAACUGACUGUUCUCUCUCUGUUUCUCUAGGGUCUACUCCGUGCCAGCAGAGCAAGGACAGAAAGCUGCUGUCUAACCAUCAGGGCCUUUUCAUUUCCCCUCUCCACUGGAUCCUUUCAGGGACGUGCUGCAAGCAUGUGAUUUCUCAUCCGAACGUAUCUAUAUCUAUAGCGGAUUCUAUAACAUCAGUAGACGAGAAUGUGUUGCUAUCACAAAUUUCCUAUGAACCGUUUUUAAAUGCACAAUGUAUACUGUUCAUGCACACAUGCCAUAUGUUGCACUCACAGAGAAAGUCCUUGGACUGUGUAGUACAGCUCAUUGGAACAUUUUCCUCUCUGCCUGCAAUACUUUUUUAUUUAAAUCAAGUUUUUAAACUCUGCUUAAAGGUGUGUAAUAUUUUUCCAUCUUUAGAUAUUCUCCUUAAAAGUAAGCCAUUCAUGGUCAUCAAAAAUAUAAACAAAUGGCAUGAGUUUGGGGUGGGACCAUCUAAUUAACUAGCCAAUGGCAGACAGUGCCACAGAAAUCAUGAACUGCAGCUUUAAGCAAACAUCCUCCUUAUUUUUGCUCCCGGUCCUCAAAUGUUAGCUGUCCCCAGUGCGUUUAAAGUGACAAAAUCAAGGCGGUUAAAAGAUAAAGCUGGUCUCUGGCUCUCUGAUUAUUUGACAAAAGAGAGAAAGAAGCGGAGAGGGAAAAACGAGUGGAACUCUGAACACCCACUUGUCAAAUGGUGAAUUAAUCAACCACUUUCUUUUUCCUUUCUUUCACCGUGGCCAACUCCUCUAAAGCACAGCAGAUUGUAAAUAGCUCUGGGAUGCUGAGUAGCAGACUAAUGUUUCAUAUAUACUCCUGGCUUUAAUAGGAAGACAAUCCGAUGGGUGGAUGGAAUAAAGAUACAACACGUAGCUACAAUGAGGUCCAAAAGUCCAUUACCCACUUUCAAAACAGAUUUUUGAAAAGUUUUGAAAAUGCCCUCAGGCAUUUUUUCCACUCAAUGAAACGACUGUUUAUGCAAGGCGCGGUGUUUCCGUGACGGUUUGAAGCAAGUCAGUCGAGGCACGCGAUUGGGUGUCUAUUGCUAAGAGUUCUGGCACCGCAGUGAGGGGUUAAUACCGCAAAAGCGGUGUCAAACCGGCUUCUAAAUUACAAGUGUAAAACCUACUUUUACCCGGGGUUAAAAGCAGAGUCUGUAAGUACAGUAAAGUGGAGUAACGCGAGGUGUGAAAGCCCAAAUGUGGAUCCUUUGUCAAUUUACUAGCAGUUUCUGAGUGAAAAAAGUAAGUUCCCCCC
rnacentral:lncRNA from 1 species